rnacentral:rRNA from 1 species
UACAGAGACUGCAAGCGUUAUUCGGAUUCACUGGGCGUAAAGGGUGCGCAGGCGGCCGAGUGUGUGAGGCGUGAAAGCCCGGGGCUUAACCCCGGAAUUGCACCUCAAACUACACGGCUAGAGCAUUGGAGAGGGUAGCGGAAUUCACGGUGUAGCAGUGAAAUGCGUAGAUAUCGUGAGGAACACCAGAGGCGAAGGCGGCUACCUGGACAAUUGCUGACGCUCAGGCACGAAAGCGUGGGGAGCAAAAGGG